CCGGGACCAAGAAGACACCUUGGGGAAAUGAGGAUCUGAGUGAACAGAGGAGAGUUCCUAAGAGUUCGCAAGGUGAAGCUGAGUGCCUGAGGAGGGUAGGAGAGAAAAGGACCAGCCCAGCAGCCAUGUUCUCUCUCUCCCAAAGUAAACGGGGCUAUUAGGAUUAGGUUCAGUUGCAAGGGACAGAAAACCCAAAACCAGAGUAGCUCAAACAGAAAGAAGUUUCUUUCUUCCGUGAAAGCUCCUGAACAAGGCAGCCCAGGUAUUGGGGACCCUGCCUUCCAUCUUGCUCCAUAAUCCUCAGCAUGUGGCUUUCACCUCAUGGCUCAACAUGGCUGCUUGAGCACCAGACAUCACAUCUGUAUUACAGCCAACAGUGCAGUGGAAAGGCAUGAAGAAAAGAAUGCUUUCUCUCCAGCAAAGGGGUUUCUGGAAGAAUGCCAUUUUAGCCUGGCAACAUUAAGACCUUGAAAAAGCCCACCGGGCCCCUGGAAGGCCCACGGACUCUGCUGCGCUGCUGUAUGGGAUGGCACCCAGGAAAUGGGCACCCAGGCCUCGGAAGUGCCUGCAGCAAUCCAUGGCACAGACCAGCUGUUGGUAGCUGCCAGGAUGCUGCACGCACUGGGCUCUCCAGCUGACUUCUGAUGUCCGUCUCCUGGUGGAGUUGUCUCUUCCUCCUCCCAGCCAGAUCCUUCUCCUGUGCCCUGGAAACUGAGAACACUGGGGAUUUAGGGGAGAAGGGAAGGCCCCAGUCACGAUUGGGCAGGCAGGGGUAGGAGCUGCCAGGUAAACAGAUCCCUCUGAUGUGCACAUGUCAGAGGUUCAAGAAAGUGAGUGAGUGAAGGAAUGAAUCAGUCCAUUGAUCAAUCAAUUGCUGGGAGCCCAAAUGUUAUUCAGUCUAACCUCAGCCACAUUGUUCCCCAGUUUUCGCUUACACACUUCCAGUGACAGGGAGCUCACUACUUCAGGUGGCAAAAUGGUUUUAGUUUUAGAUUGCCCUUAUGAGCCAGAUCUUUAGCUUCUGGGUCCCUCUCAGCCCCAGUCCACGCUGCAGGUGGGACCUAGAAUACAUUUAGCCUCUUUUUUAUGGGCUGGUACCCAAGUCUUCAUGAGCAAGAGAAAGCGCAGAACACAGGAGCUUGGAGCCCACGCACCUUUCCUCAUCCUCUCUGGCCAGAGUGGGUCUGUGACUUGCCCAAGGCCACACAGCUGGCUAAGGGCUAAGCCAAGACCAGACCGCAGACCCGGCUUUCCACUGUUUCCUUCUAAAUCCCACAUCCCCUCUGGGACUUCCUUCAGUGUUCCCCACAGUGGGCACUCCCUCCCCACAUCCAGCCCACCCCACGAUGCUGAGGAUCCACUUCCUCUAUGGAGACCCUCAGGCUGCAGAAACCCAUCUCUCGUCACUGCCAGAGACACGCACAAGUCCACGUGUCAGGAGCUGUGCCAGGACCAAGACCAACAGAGUAGCCUGUGUGUCUCUUCUUCCCGCCAGACAGAGGCCUCCCCCAAGUUGCAGGCCUG
rnacentral:lncRNA from 10 species